rnacentral:SRP_RNA from 10 species
GAGCCCCAGGAGGAAGGGGACACUGUUAGCAGCACAGGAUUAAGGAGUUGGAAGAGACCUUUAGAACAGCUGGUCCUUAUGCUGACUGGGUGCCCUCACUAAGUUCGGCAUCAAUAUGGUGACUUCCUGGGAGCGGGGUCCACCAAGUUGCCUAAGGAUGGCUGAACUGGCCCAGGUCAGAAAUGGAACAGGUCAGAACUCCAGCAGCGACUAGUAGUGGGACUGUGCCUGGGCAGCAUAGCAAGAUCCUGGUUCUUAAAAGUAAAAAUAAAGAACAGCAGCUUAUUCCU